GGUGGCUGUCGUUCAAUGGCAGGACCCUGGUUUGUGAUUCCAGCGAUUUGGGUUCGAUUCCCAGCAGUCACCCCCA
rnacentral:tRNA from 1 species